rnacentral:sRNA from 1 species
UUUUUUUUCCUUUUCCUCCACUGAAAUAAUCUUAUUUAUUUGAACCUUCCAAAGGUGGAUAUGGUUAUAGAAGAAGUGGCCGAGAUAAAUAUGGCCCUCCUACUCGCACAGAGUACAGACUUAUUGUGGAGAAUUUGUCAAGUCGGUGCAGCUGGCAAGACCUAAAGGAUUAUAUGCGUCAGGCAGGAGAAGUGACUUAUGCAGAU